UUAAUUAUCAAGACAUAGACAGUUCUAUGCUUCUAAGGUCGUGUUUUAUGGUUAUAGGUGCUAUAAGGUUAGCUACAGACUCGGAGAGAUGGACCUCAGCAUCUGAUGUUCAACCAUUCAAAGUUUCUACUGCAUACAGAGUAUCAUUCUUAGGUCCUCAAUUGUCUAUUCUCAGGGGCAGUAGCAAGGUGAUUAGUUUAUGGAGCUUUAACUAGUAGAGCAUUCUCUUCCUUUCAGGGGCAGCAUUGACUUUCGAACUCUAUUUAACAUGAACGGUAAAUCUGAUAUCAAUGGAUUUAACUCUAUUUAAUAGCAGUGGUUUAACUUGUUUAGUCUUAUAAGUGGCAUAAAAUCAAUAGUAAUCUUUUUGUCAUUUGGGCAUGCAAUGUUAGAUAAAAUGAGGUCUGAUGAAUUGGUCUUGUUUGCUUCUCUGGCAGGCUUUUAGAAAUGUGUUGGAUAUGUACUUUGGAGUAAAUCUUGAUGUACGUAAAGUGGAAUUGUUAAAGGUGGUUAUCAGUGGUCAGGAGGUAAAGACCAAUAGUAUGUAUUCAACUAUUCACAUUAUGUACUAUGUGCCUUAAUUUCAAAUAAGGUUGUUCUUUAUAUUUGCAAGUUUCUGAAAAAAUAAUCUUGUAUAAAGUUUCAUUUUUAGGGGUCGGUUCGACGCUUUGUAGAGGUUCCACUUCAGGGGUCCUUCAUGGCAACAUUAACUCUUGGCGCGUAAGUCUUUGACUUGAGAUGUAUUUCUUUCUUACUGUUUUUUCUUCUUCUAUAGAAAUAGUGUGUCAAUUAUGAACUUUGAACAAAUUACCUGCAAGAAAAUGGGCCACAUGAUGAUAAGGUGUUCAUAUGCAAUUUAUAUUUCUUGUUAAGAUAUGCUUACACAAUUAGUACAUGAAAUUUGUUCUGCUUUCUUUCUUCUCGUUAUUGCUUACAUGAAUAAGAAUGAUUUUUAAUGAGAGACUACAAUUCAUAUAUUUUGUAGGUAAUUCCAUGAUACUUCAUGAGUGUGGCUGAAUUUGAACAACAAGGCAAUGUAGCUAAGGAAAAAGAUAAGAUUUACUGAUAUGUUGUUCGAGUCGACGGUGGUGACGACAUAACAAUGGUGCAACUGAAGGUAAAUAGUUCUGUCAGACUGCAGACUAUUUUUUCAUGUUACUGGUAGUUCUGAGUUCCUCUGUUUAUAUACUAUUGUCUGUUUUAUGUCACACAAAGAGGGCUUGUCCUCCUGGAUGUUGAUAGUAGAAGAAACCUGACGAUGCAACCCCUGGUUGCGUGCUGAUCAGGAGUUGUAAUACUUUUAUCUUAAUUAUCAAUAAAUUUUAACUUUCAUAAUAUUAUAGAAGAUAUCAUUGUAUUUUUGGA
rnacentral:lncRNA from 1 species